GAUGAAGAACGUAGCGAAAUGCGAUAAGUAAUGUGAAUUGCAGAAUUCAGUGAACCAUCGAAUCUUUGAACGCACAUUGCGCCCUUUGGUAUUCCUUAGGGCAUGCCUGUUCGAGCGUCAUUUAAACCUUCAAGCUAAGCUUGGUGUUGGGUGACUGUCCGCUUCACUGCGGACUCGCCUCAAAAUUAUUGGCGGCCGGUACAUUGGCUUCGAGCGCAGCAGAAACGCGAACUCGGGCCCGUCGUAUUGGCUCCCAGAAGCUAUCUUCACAAUUUUGACCUCGGAUCAGGUAGGGAUACCCGCUGAACUUAAGCAUAUCAAUAAGCGGAGGA
rnacentral:misc_RNA from 1 species